CUGUCUGUCAUUAGGACAUUUCAGAGGACGAGAACGAUCUCUGUUCCCGUCGCUUUCAUUAAGUGCAUGCGAUUGAUGGAACAAGUGUUGUCAAAUUGAUUUCGGAAAACGUUGACGUUUCCAGCCAGUUUUUUCCUGACGCUAAUUUCUAAUUUCCAAAGACGAUUGUCGGUUCCAAAUCGAACAAAAAUUCAGGAGUUGCUCUGCAAAAAGGUCAGGAAAAGAAUGGCAUCUGUGCCAAUUAGUGUCGCUUAUGUGAAUCAUCUUCAUACGGAUACUUCGCCUGGUGAAAAGACGCAAGUCACCAAUUUUACGGAAGUCACUGGAAGGGACAACAUUCAACUUGAAACACAGCGAAGAUGGCCUUUCCAUAUAAAAGCUCAAACGCAGUCACAAACACCACAGUCUUCGCCCCAGAAGUCAUCCCGUCUCAUUUCGAAGUGAACUAAAUCACAAAUUACGCUUGCCUAGAUGAUGGAUCAUCACGGUGUAACAUAAUCCUGAGUUUAAAGUUCUGGAAAGCGGUUUGUCGUGGAUGUGUGUGCAAAGCUUAAACAUAGACCUGAAAAAUUAGGCUAGAAAUUUGACUUGUUAGUCAGACACGAAAAUUCAUCCGAGGUUUUGAGUACGUGAUCACUUGUGUUUAAUCUCGAUUGCGUAACAAAUUUACCUGCAAAAGAGACGUGAUAACGUACAUGUUCCUUAAGUUCGUCACGCGAUCUGGCCGUUGAGUGACGAACCAACUAGAAACUGUUCACGGCGGCAACGUCCAUGUUCGCCAACUGAGAUGACAAAGAUAAUUCAAAAUUGCCCUUUCUUUGGGUGAAUCACGAAUUUUAAAAAAGGAAAGUUUCCGUCACACGAUCGAAUAUCCCGAGCGAAUGACACUUUAUAAAUUGUUAGUAAAAAUUAUCAUUUAAUCCCUGAGGAUAUUUUACAAGAGGGUGUUGUGACAACUUCAACUGAAGCAUAACAAAAUGAAAUUCCUUCUUAUUCUUUAUUAUCUCAUCCCUUUGGUCAAAACACUUUGCCAAGUUGCUCCUUUGGUCAAAUGCCUUUAAUAGGAUAAUUCUCCCUUUUUUCCUAAACCAUCCAAUCAUUAGAUAUAGACAAAAAGAAUCAUACUGAAUUUUCUUUUUAAGCUUUCAGAUCUGAAAUCAGACUUCACACUGACUUUGGCUUCUCUUAAUUUAACUUUGAGGAAACCGGUCCUGAGAAAUAAUUCUAUAUGCUUUCUUUAACUUUUAUGUGCCAAAAAGUGCUCCCUGUUUUUCCUCUUUUGAUUAAAACUAUACGCGAAGGAAAGUGUAAAAAAAGUUUAAAAGGAGAAAAAUAUGUACGGUUAAGGACUUGAGGAUCGAUUUGUUCUGGUCGCUGAUAGUUUGCCCAAGGUAUGCGCAACCUACUGAUACUGAUGUGGUUGUUACUGAUUGAAGAGCAAACGCCUAGAUGACUUCACCAUUCACAACAUUUUGAUCUUUCAUCACAUACAAGUCGAUUUCAUGUUGCCGCGCGACCGUUCAAAAAAAAAAAUCACAGAAAUGCUGUAAAAACGCGGUACGAACAAAAAAAGUAGCAUGACAUCCCCAAUGGUGAGCUUAAGUACACGCAUAGACAACAUAAUGGUCAGACUGAUGGUCCCAGAUUGCCAAGUAUUUAUUUACAUUUUCUAAGCUCACACUAACACUGCUUGUCUUAACUGACCAUGGAUAUAGUCAAUCCAGUGACCCUCAUAGAUAUAACUAUUUACGUAUAUUCCAUAAAGUCAAGUAUACAAAUUAGAAAUAUAUCGGACUGGUCAUAUGAAGAUGAAGACGUGUUCAUUUUCAAGAUGACAAGUGGUCAGGUAAGAAAUUGAAACUAUAUCUUUUCAAAAAAAUUUGCCCAAGAACUCCGCGUUACAAUUAAGACACGCCGACCUGGCUAGCGAUUCAUCCUUAAUGGAAAAAAAAAAAAAACAGAAUCAAAACGACAAAUUCCUAACCAAUGUACCUCUGCUUACAGACCGUUC